GAUCCUGGCUCAGAAUCAACGCUGGCGGCGCGCUUAACACAUGCAAGUCGAACGAGAAAGGGAGCAAUCCUGAGUAAAGUGGCGUACUGGUGAGUAACACGUGGAUAUCUACCUCUUGGUGGGGGAUAACCUGGGGAAACCUGGGCUAAUACCGCAUAAGUUCGUGAGAAGAAAGGCGCAAGUCGCCGAGAGAGGAGUCCGCGGUCGAUUAGGUAGUUGGCAGGGUAAAAGCCUACCAAGCCAAAGAUCGAUAGCCGGCCUGAGAGGGCACACGGCCACACUGGCACUGAAACACGGGCCAGACUCCUACGGGAGGCAGCAGUGGGGAAUCUUGCACAAUGGGGGAAACCCUGAUGCAGCGACGCCGCGUGAGCGAUGAAGCCCUUCGGGGUGUAAAGCUCUUUCGGCAGGAACGAUAAUGACGGUACCUGCAGAAGAAGCUGCGGCUAACUACGUGCCAGCAGCCGCGGUAAUACGUAGGCAGCAAGCGUUGUUCGGAAUUACUGGGCGUAAAGAGUGUGUAGGUGGUGUCGUAAGUUUGGUGUGAAAUCUCCCGGCUUAACUGGGAGGGUGCGCCGAAGACUGCGAUGCUGGAGUAUGGGAGAGGAAAGCGGAAUUCCUGGUGUAGCGGUGAAAUGCGUAGAUAUCAGGAGGAACACCUGCGGUGUAGACGGCUUUCUGGACCAUUAC
rnacentral:rRNA from 1 species